AUGCUCUACAAAAUCCACUGCCGUGCCCAAAUCCAAGCCCUGCAGGCCCUCUCCGAUGAGCUGGGCCACUCCAAUGACUUAAUGCUUGUGAAUCUUGUCUCUCUGGAGUCGGUGCGCAUAGCGUGCGAGUCGUAUGCACUCCUCCGCCCGCUGAUCAAGGAGUAUGUGUUCUGGGCAUGCCCGGAGCUGGAAAACCUCUCGGUCGUGGCAUGCUUGUUGCUGGAAAUCCAAAUGCUCGAGCAUGAUGUGUUACCCCAGCUCAAGGUUCAGGAAGCCAAGCUGGAACAGGGCGCCCUGGAAGCCCUCCUACUCAUGAAGAACUCAGCAAUUUUGCCCUUAGAUCUGAGGAAGCGCUUUAUGUUAGCCUUGGGCGUAUUGCUUGCCGAGGACGAUCUGGUCUUAGCCCGAGUCAAAAAGCUGAGCAUAAUGCUAAAGGAUACUGCUGAUGAUGUACUCGAAGGUAAUGGUAACAUUGCCUGGCUUGAGGAGCGUCUCCCGUUGCUGGUCCAGCUGGUCACCUAUGUGUUGGAGACCCCGUGCAUCAUUGGUUACGACUCCAGCUCGCGCGCCCUCCGUGGAUCAGGCAUCAACGGUCGCAGUUCUGAGGACGCCACCUCCUCUGGUGCUCUGCAACCAUCUUCCCCACUAAGGUGUGCGUGGUGA
rnacentral:rRNA from 1 species